rnacentral:rRNA from 1 species
UACGAAGGGGGCUAGCGUUGCUCGGAAUCACUGGGCGUAAAGCGCACGUAGGCGGCUUCUUAAGUCAGGGGUGAAAUCCUGGAGCUCAACUUCAGAACUGCCUUUGAUACUGAGGAGCUUGAGUCCGGGAGAGGCGCGUGGAAUUGCAGGUGUAGCGGUGGAAAUGCGUAGAUAUCUGCAGGAACACCCGUGGCGAAAGCGGCGCGCUGGACCACUACUGACGCUGAGGAACGAAAGCUAGGGGAGCAAACAGG